CACGUAGGGCGCAAGCGUUGUCCGGAAUUAUUGGGCGUAAAGGGCUCGUAGGCGGUCUGUCACGUCGAAAGUGAAAACUCAGGGCUUAACCCUGAGCCUGCUUCCGAUACGGGCAGACUAGAGGUAUGCAGGGGAGAAUGGAAUUCCCGGUGUAGCGGUGAAAUGCGCAGAUAUCGGGAAGAACACCCGUGGCGAAGGCGGCUCUCUGGGACGGUACUGACGCUGAGACGCGAAAGCGUGGGGAGCGAACAGG
rnacentral:rRNA from 1 species